CCUACGGGAGGCAGCAGUGAGGAAUAUUGGUCAAUGGACGAGAGUCUGAACCAGCCAAGUAGCGUGAAGGAUGACUGCCCUAUGGGUUGUAAAUUUCUUUUAUAAAGGAAUAAAACGAGGCACGGGUGCCUUUUUGCAUGUACUUUAUGAAUAAGGAUCGGCUAAAUCCGUGCCAGCAGCCGCGGUAAUACGGAUGAUCCGAGCGUUAUCCGGAUUUAUUGUGUUUAAAGGGAGCGUAGAUGGGUUGUUAAGUCAGUUGUGAAAGUUUGCGGCUCAACCGUAAAAUUGCAAUUGAUACUGGCAGUCUUGAGUACAGUUGAGGUAGGCGGAAUGCGUGGGGUAGCGGUGAAAUGCUUAGAUAUCACGAAGAACCCCGAUUGCGAAGGCAGCUUACUAAACUGUGACUGACAUUGAUGCUCGAAAGUGUGGGUAUCAAACAGGAUUAGAUACCCGGGUAGUC
rnacentral:rRNA from 1 species